AUAGCGCAGCCAUGCGGUCGCUCCAUAGAUCGAGGCGCCGCCGGACUUGUUGGCGAAC
rnacentral:sRNA from 1 species